rnacentral:rRNA from 1 species
AACGAACGUUGGCGGCAGGCUUAACACAUGCAAGUCGAGCGCCCCGCAAGGGGAGCGGCAGACGGGUGAGUAACGCGUGGGAAUCUACCCAUCUCUACGGAAUAACGCAUGGAAACGUGUGCUAAUACCGUAUACGUCCUUCGGGAGAAAGAUUUAUCGGAGAUGGAUGAGCCCGCGUUGGAUUAGCUAGUUGGUGGGGUAAAGGCCUACCAAGGCGACGAUCCAUAGCUGGUCUGAGAGGAUGAUCAGCCACACUGGGACUGAGACACGGCCCAGACUCCUACGGGAGGCAGCAGUGGGGAAUAUUGGACAAUGGGCGCAAGCCUGAUCCAGCCAUGCCGCGUGAGUGGUGAAGGCCCUAGGGUUGUAAAGCUCUUUCACCGGUGAAGAUAGUGACGGUAACCGGAGAAGAAGCCCCGGCUAACUUCGUGCCAGCAGCCGCCGUAAAAC